UUUAGCGCGAAACGGCCCUCAAAGCCUCGAAAGUGCCGACGACGAUGUUUCGUUAGAACGAACGGUGUACCACGUGUGUGCACUUCACUCUUCCGCCUCUGUUAUCCUUGAUAACGAACAAGUUUUUCGAUCUGGGAACAAUCUAAAAUAAAUCUGGGAACGUCACAAAGAAGAAGGCGUCCAGUUGGUGCGGUGUUCUGAAAUGUCGGAAAUAGAAGGUGAGGGCCUCUUUACGAGCUCUGUCACGACCAUGUUGCUUGAGUAUCAUCGUAGAUAGAUAAACAAGUGUCAGUGGAGGAAGUCACGGGAACGAGAGUAAUUCAGCGUAUGCGUGCAAAAAUAUUCGCAGGACGCUUCGGAGCAGGAUGAUACACAAGAUGAAACCACG
rnacentral:misc_RNA from 1 species